GAGUUGAGUAGUGACAUGACAAUGCUGUGGUAACAAUGGUUUCACUCUGACUGCCUUACUGAAGAUGCAUAAAGGGGAUCUCUGGUGGAAUUGGGAGACCAGUUAGGAGACUACUGCAAUCAUUCAAGAGAAAGAUGAUGGAGACUGGGAAUAAAAUUGCAGCAAUGGAGAAGUCAUCUUUUCUAAAACUCUUCUAGUGGCAGCUCUAAAUAUCAGUUGGACUGGUACUGAAGAAAAAACAGGACAAAAAGGCCAGAAGGUCUCGCCCCACAGCAAAUUAGAAGUUAAUUUGCAUGAGAGCAAGAGCCUUUGCUGUCCUGUUUUACAUCGUUGAUGCCUAAAUGAAAAGAAUGAAAGAAGAUGGAGAGAUCUGAGUACAACCAUCAAGUGAAGGCGUAACCAAGGGAGGCUUGAGCAUACACGUAGACAGAGGGGAGGAAUCUUGUGGAAUAGAAGAGGAUAGAGACACAGAAGAGAGGAUUCAUUGGUGAAAUGAAGCCUCAUGCAUGUUAAUGGGGUUACUGAAGUCAGUAGCACCUUGGGAUCUACAUCUCCAUGCUGUGGAAGGAGGGGAAUGGCUGCCUCCUAGAUGGGAACCACUGGAUUAAGUUAAUAUCAGGCUGCUCCAGAAGCAACGAAGUGACUUUGAGUAAAAGUAUCUUUCUGUGCUCUCAA
rnacentral:lncRNA from 1 species